AUUGAACGCUGGCGGCAUGCUUUACACAUGCAAGUCGGACGGCAGCGGGGUAGUGCUUGCAUUACUGCCGGCGAGUGGCGAACGGGUGAGUAUAAUAUUGGAACGUACCGAGUAAUGGGGGAUAACUAUCCGAAAGGAUGGCUAAUACCGCAUACGUCCUGAGGGAGAAAGCGGGGGACAGGCAACUGCCUCGCGUUAUUUGAGCGGCCAAUAUCGGAUUAGCUAGUUGGUGGGGUAAAGGCUUACCAAGGCGACGAUCCGUAGCGGGUCUGAGAGGAUGAUCCGCCACACUGGGACUGAGACACGGCCCAGACUCCUACGGGAGGCAGCAGUGGGGAAUUUUGGACAAUGGGGGGAACCCUGAUCCAGCCAUGUCGCGUGUAUGAAGAAGGCCUUAGGGUUGUAAAGUACUUUUGUUAGGGAAGAAAAGGCAUUUGCUAAUAUCAGAUGCUGAUGACGG
rnacentral:rRNA from 1 species